rnacentral:tRNA from 1 species
UGGCAAGAGGAGCCUACCUCCAUAAAUGAAUUUACAAUCCACCGCCUAAAUUCAGCCACCUUACC